CACUUGGCCGCGGGCAGCCCCCAUACAACAUGUUUAGAAAACAACUUAGCACUAUCUUGUAAUGUCAGAUAUUUGCCCUGAGAACCUGUAAUUUCUCCCUUCAGUACACUUAGAAAAAUUCUUGUAGGUGUACCGCAGUAAACGUGGAUAACCAUAUUCAUGGGGAUUCUGGGGAGCAGCAGCCGUGCUGGUGUAACUGUUUAAUCUCUCCAAAUCCCGCAGAAGGAUACACACAGCAGCCAGGAUUGCAAACUAAAACCCCACAGGCAAUGACUGCGACAAACUAGAUGACACAGAUCCCACAAACCCUGAAACCCCAGUGGAUGGAGACACACCCACGAGACCUGCAGCCGCCGCCGCUGUGUCAGAGGAAGCCGGAGGGAGCAAUGGCCCUCCUCACAAACCUAGGGACCCCAGAUAACGACAGUGAGUCACGGAAAAGCCAGCGGGCCAAGCGGAGAAGCGCGCCCGUCGCCAGGAGGGAGGCGCGUACUCCGCCAGCAACUGGGGACAAGGGGCGGACCCGGCCUAGGAAACCCUCAGAACUGACCAGCCCAGGCUCCCAUCCAGGACGAACCCCAGCUGAGGAGUAACUGCUGGAAGAGAAUCCAAAUGGAGCAGGAAAGAAGGAAGGAAGCAAGAAGGCAAGCAGACCUCCAGUUAAACGUGGUAGACUGCCCACAUUCAUUAUAUCACCUCCUCUGGAAACCCCUCGAAAAUAAGAGUAAAAGGAUAAUAUCAAUGCAAGCCCAUGAAGAAAGUGGGACCAGGAGAGAAGACAUCAGGGACAAGCGAGUUCAUCCCAUUUCUGAAGAUGGAAAGUGGAUGGAGGGGUAGGAAUUGCCCAGAUGGAGCUGAGGAAGCUGCAGCUGAAGUGCUGGGGAGAGGGCUGACCAAGACGCCGGCUUCUUCCCCUUCUGAAUCCCGGGAGCCGCACGCCAUUCCCAGGCAGGAGACUGGAGGUUUCCUCUUGGACUCUGGCACCUGGAGCUCCGUGGAGAAGCAGGUCCCACCCAAGCUUAGAGCGCUCAUAGGAGCUUUUUAGCACCUUGAGCCUCAGUAUAAAUGGACAGACGUGAGAAAUGCCUCUACCACGUAAGAAGGAAACCAAAGCAAACUGGGAAAAGGAACCCGGAGGAACCAGAGACAAUGUGAGGAGUGGAAUAAAACAUUUAAGUAAAACUACAACUAACGUCUUUAGAGAGAAAAGAGAAUACAUUACACCCCUAAGAAAAGGAUACUGUAGAAAAGAAACAGAGAACUAGAAAUUGAAAAUGUGAUAGCAGAAAUAUUUAAAAAUCAAUAGGAAAAAAGGAAGAUAAAGCUUAGUAAGUUUCCCAAAAAAGAAAACCAGAAGACAAAAGAUUAAGGACUUAGAGGAAAAAUCCAGGAAUCUCAUUUCUGGCUACUAGGAAUGUCAGAGAGAACAGAGACGAAAGAAACGAUCAACCUAUACGAGAAAAUCUCCCCACACUGAAAGACAGGGGUUUCCAGAUUAAAAGGGUCCACCGAAUACCCAGCCCAAAGAUUUAAAGCACCCCCUCACCAAAGCACAAAGUUGUGAGAUUCAGCACACCUGGGAUGGAGAGAGUGUCCUGAAAGCUUUUAAAGAGAGAAAACAGUUUCCAUACAAAGAAAUAAGAAUUAGAAUGGCCCUUUCAACAGCUUCCUGUAAGCCAAAGGCAAUGGGACAGUGCCUUCAAAAUUCUGAACAGAGGUGUUUUCAGCCUAGACUUUAAUACCCACCAACAGUACCUGAGAGAAAAAUAAAGACAUUUUCAAACAUUCUAAAGCAUGUAUCAUCUAUGCACCCAUUUUUAGGAAACUGCGAGAGGCUACUGGUGGUCUAGUGGUUAAGAUCUUGGGUUCUCAUCACCAUGGCACGGGUUCAUUUCCUGGUCACAGAACCACACCACUCACCAGUCAGUUGUCGUACUGUGGCAGCUGCAUGUUGCUCUGAUGCUGAAAGCCAUGCCACCCGUAUAUUAAAUAUCAGCAGGGCCACCCAUGGUGGACAGGGUUCAGCAGAGCUUCUAGACUCAGACAGACUAGGAAGAAGGACCUGGUCACCCACUUCCAAAAAAUUGGCCAUGAAAACCCUGUGAACAGCAGCAGAGCAUUGUCUGAUAGAGCGCAGGAAAGGGAGAGGAUGGCGCA
rnacentral:lncRNA from 1 species